AUUGAACGCUGGCGGCAUGCUUUACACAUGAAAGUCGAACGGCAGCGCGGGCUUCGGCCUGGCGGCGAGUGGCGAACGGGUGAGUAAUGCAUCGGAACGUGCCCAGUAGUGGGGGAUAGCCCGGCGAAAGCCGGAUUAAUACCGCAUACGACCUGAGGGUGAAAGCGGGGGACCGAAAGGCCUCGCGCUAUUGGAGCGGCCGAUGUCGGAUUAGCUAGUUGGUGGGGUAAAGGCUUACCAAGGCGACGAUCCGUAGCUGGUCUGAGAGGACGACCAGCCACACUGGGACUGAGACACGGCCCAGACUCCUACGGGAGGCAGCAGUGGGGAAUUUUGGACAAUGGGGGCAACCCUGAUCCAGCCAUGCCGCGUGCGGGAAGAAGGCCUUCGGGUUGUAAACCGCUUUUGUUCGGGAAGAAAUCCUCUGGGCUAAUACCCCGGGGGGAUGACGGUACCGGAAGAAUAAGCACCGGCUAACUACGUG
rnacentral:rRNA from 1 species